UCAGCAGUGAAGUCCUCAAGUGAGGAAUAUUAUUGGUAACCAGAGCUGCAAGAAAGCAUGUCCACGAAAUGAAGCAUAGUGUGAUACUAAUCUAGAGCAGGGCUCUUCAGAGAUUGCUGUGCACAGGAAACAUCUGGGAUCGCAUGACUGUGCAAACUCUGAUUCACUAAUUCCAGCGCCAUGGCUACUUAUUCUGCCACAUGUGCCAACAAUAGCCCUGCACAGGGCAUCAACAUGGCCAACAGCAUUGCCAACCUGAGACUGAAGGCCAAGGAAUAUAGUUUACAGAGGAACCAGGUGCCAACAGUCAACUGAGGAAAAAAAAUAAUUAAACAGGCCUAAGAAGAAAUCAAAAACCAUAA
rnacentral:sRNA from 1 species